UACGAAGGGGGCUAGCGUUGUUCGGAAUUACUGGGCGUAAAGCGUGCGCAGGCGGCUUCUCAAGUCAGGGGUGAAAGCCCAGAGCUCAACUCUGGAACUGCCUUUGAGACUGAGAGGCUUGAGUACGGGAGAGGUGAGUGGAAUUCCCAGUGUAGAGGUGAAAUUCGUAGAUAUUGGGAAGAACACCGGUGGCGAAGGCGGCUCGCUGGCCCGUAACUGACGCUCAUGCACGAAAGCGUGGGGAUCAAACAGG
rnacentral:rRNA from 1 species